GAUGAACGCUGGCGGCGUGCCUAAUACAUGCAAGUCGAGCGAACAGACGAGGAGCUUGCUCCUCUGACGUUAGCGGCGGACGGGUGAGUAACACGUGGAUAACCUACCUAUAAGACUGGGAUAACUUCGGGAAACCGGCGCUAAUACCGGAUAAUAUAUUGAACCGCAUGGUUCAAUAGUGAAAGACGGUUUUGCUGUCACUUAUAGAUGGGUCCGCGCCGCAUUAGCUAGUUGGUAAGGCAACGGGUUACCAAGGCAACGAUGCGUAGCCGACCUGAGAGGGUGAUCGGUCACACUGGAACUGAGACACGGUCCAGACUCCUACGGGAGGGAGCAGUAGGGAAGCGUCCGCAAUGGGCGAGAGCCUGACGGAGCAACACCGCGUGAGUGAUGAAGGUCUUCGGAUCGUAAAACUCUGUUAUUAGGGAAGAACAAAUGUGUAAGUAACUAUGCACGUCUUGACGGUACCUAAUCAGAAAGCCACGGCUAACUACGUG
rnacentral:rRNA from 1 species